UCCGUGGACAGCUAUACAAACUAGAGUAACUUCGGUGAAAUAGGGCUGGAAGAAACGGAAA
rnacentral:ncRNA from 1 species